rnacentral:rRNA from 1 species
UGCCAGACUCCUACGGGAGGCAGCAGUGGGGAAUAUUGCACAAUGGGGGAAACCCUGAUGCAGCGACGCCGCGUGAGCGAUGAAGUAUUUCGAUAUGUAAAGCUCUCUCAGCAGGGAAGAAAAUGACGGUACCUGACUAAGAAGCCCCGGCUAACUACGUGCCAGCAGCCGCGGUAAUACGUAGGGGGCAAGCGUUAUCCGGAUUUACUGGGUGUAAAGGGAGCGUAGACGGCUGUGCAAGCCAGAUGUGAAAGCCCGGGGCUCAACCCCGGGACUGCAUUUGGAACUGUGUGGCUGGAGUGUCGGAGAGGCAGGCGGAAUUCCUAGUGUAGCGGUGAAAUGCGUAGAUGUUAGGAGGAACACCAGUGGCGAAGGCGGCCUGCUGGACGAUGACUGACGUUGAGGCUCGAAAGCGUGGGGAGCAAACAGGAUUAGAUACCCUAGUAAC